GCCAGGGACACUAACGAAUCAAAGCGGCAUCCGAAGCCCAGCAAGCUGCAGCCAGGACGUCACCACGAGGGACGGUGACAAAGCCCUGCGCCAAGGGUGCCAGGCUGCUGCUCGGUGUGGCCAAAGGGCACAAACAAGCCACUUCAGGUGAUGGAAAACUUCCCGCUCGUGCUCAGCAGCUCCGGGAAGAAACUGGAUCCCAGUGCUGGCUAAUCUGGCUGAUCUGUUUGCACCGGCUGGCGUGGCACAGACCGGCUGGUGGCGAGACGGGGCAGGCAAAGCCACUCUGCCCCGUCCCAGGUCAUGCUCAGGCUGCCGGAGAGGCACCACGGUCGGAGGCUGAUGGUCUCAUCCAGACUCUGUGUUGGUCCAAUGCCGCCUCGUGCUGCCCUGGCACCUCAGGAGGAAAGCGGCUGAAUGGCAGAGCCCCACAAAAGGCAUUGCCCAGCCAGAAAUCGGGUGCAAGCCCCACACCCCCAGUGUCAUUCACACCAUCUUUGCAUUGCUGACAUAUCUUCCUCAUCCCUGUUUGACCCCCUGACGGGUGCUGGGGUGUCACCCACUGGGGAUUGCCCUGCUAAACCUCAACAAUGUUCACCCCAUGGUGAGAAGAGCUGGAAUUUAUCUCCCAGCAGCAGCCAGGUAUGGAGAAGUCACCUUAGCUCCUCCAUGCCGCGAGAUUUAGGGGCCACGUGGUGCAGCAGGUCCUGAGCCCUCCUGGCUCUGUGGUCAGGACGGUGGUCCUCCAUGUCCUGGCCAGACCGGGGUGCUGCUGUGCCGCAAGGAUGGACCAUGAGCAUCCCCCGCCUGCAGAGCGGGGAUGGACCCAUGGGACUGCCUGUGCAGAGCAGGAGGCUCUCCUUGCGUGAGGUCGGACACAUGCCUGGCAUCAGCUACCCCACAGAGGGAACACAGCCCUCUCCCUUCUCCCCUUUUCAGUAGCCAUCUGCAAACAUCAGAAUGCUGAAGCCCAGGGACAAGCCCCGGGUGUAAGUCCCUGCCAUCCCCAGGCUGCAGGGCCGGGUGAGACCCACAGCUGCAGCUGGUGCAGGAGAUUUAUUCAAAGCCAAUUGCACGUGAAAACCAGCACAAAACCCAGCCCUGAGCCCUUGGACAUCCCUGCCCAGGGCUCAGAGUCACAGAACCAAAACCCACCCCUGCCCACGAGCACCCCAAAUUCCCCCAGGGAUUCACUGUGUAUCCACCAUGAGCCCUUUCAGCCACCACCGCCAGAAUAUCCCGAUACUGUAUC